GCACCUUAUAGACUAACAGACGUAUUGGAGCAUAUUAGGAAUGGCAAUAUACAAAAACCUAUAGGAGAACACUUCAACCUCCCUGAACACACAAUAGCAGACUUAAAGGUAACCAUCCUGCAGCAAAAAAA